rnacentral:rRNA from 1 species
UGGGCGUAAGCGCGCGUAGGCGGUUUUUUAAGUCUGAUGUGAAAGCCCACGGCUCAACCGUGGAGGGUCAUUGGAAACUGGAAAACUUGAGUGCAGAAGAGGAAAGUGGAAUUCCAUGUGUAGCGGUGAAAUGCGCAGAGAUAUGGAGGAACACCAGUGGCGAAGGCGACUUUCUGGUCUGUAACUGACGCUGAUGUGCGAAAGCGUGGGGAUCAAACAGGAUUAGAUACCCCCGUAG